UUGUAAGCAAGCUGGGAUUUUGUCAGCUGUCCCCAGUACCCCUCUGAAGGAUUCUUUGUCUGCAGAGCUGCUGGGCGCCUGUCAGGCUGGUGGAGACAGAGGUUGUGUGGUUUUUUUUUUCAUCAUACUAAGCAUUUGUCAGGCUGCUUCUUUAUUGGAACACUAUGAGGAAUGAUUCCCCAGAAGUCCCAGACUAAACUGGAAUUGUCAGGAACUCGUCAACAUAAAGACUGGGAUUUG